rnacentral:rRNA from 1 species
UACGUAGGGGGCAAGCGUUGUCCGGAUUUAUUGGGCGUAAAGAGCGUGUAGGCGCCAGACAGGUCCGUUGUGAAAACUCGAGGCUCAACCUCGAGAUGUCGAUGGAAACCGUCUGGCUAGAGUCCGGAAGAGGAGUGUGGAAUUCCUGGUGUAGCGGUGAAAUGCGCAGAUAUCAGGAAGAACACCUAUGGCGAAGGCAGCACCUCGGUAGGGA